rnacentral:rRNA from 1 species
UACGUAGGGGGCUAGCGUUGUCCGGAAUCAUUGGGCGUAAAGCGCGUGUAGGCGGUCCGGUAAGUCCGCUGUGAAAGUCGAGGGCUCAACCCUCGAAUGCCGGUGGAUACUGUCGGGCUAGAGUGCGGAAGAGGCGAGUGGAAUUCCUGGUGUAGCGGUGAAAUGCGCAGAUAUCAGGAGGAACACCUAGUGCGAAGGCGGGUCUCUGGGCCGAUACUGACGCUGAGGAGCGAAAGCGUGGGGAGCGAACAGG